UUCGCGGCUGGGCGCCUCGCGCCUGUCCCGCCCGACUCGUGCCUCUUCUGAGCCGCAGCCCCAGCCCCAGCCCCAAUCUCAAUCUCUCCGGCCGGCAGAGGUUGGAAGACAGGAAGCCGAUUAGAAAGGAAGGUGAAGGAAACAAGAGUCAGACAGCGGAAAGUGGGAGCAAAGGGAGAAGCAGCUGUUUCAACCCGUUACUACACUUCAAUCCUCCCACUCCAACCUCUUCAUCUUUUAAUCAUUUCAGAAAAUGAAGCUUCCUACUUCACGACAAAAAAAACGACUUUCAGAAGUACCAAUCUGCAACAGCUUGAAAAUUUGAAAACCUGAUCCUUCACCACAGGUGCUUUUGCUUGCAAGGUCAAAAUCAGAAGUUCAGGAAGAUCACCUGAAUCCAGAGCUUUUGAUUUCAGAAGCCUAGGUUCAUUGAGGAAAAGUAUGCUGACUUGUCCCAGAGGGUUAACAAGUGAAUGCUUUUGAGUAGAGGUGGGAGAAGCUGUCUGACAUAGAAGUUGAGCUUCUCCGGGACAAGAGAGGAGACGGGAGUAAUGGUAGAUUCCAUGAGCAUCAAGGACUACUUUUGCUGCCUUUUAGUGUGCUAAAGAAGAUACAAGAUCUCAAGAGAGAAUGGAGACAUGGUACACUUAAGAAAGUCUGAAUACUAGUCCGUGAGGAUGCCAGCUUCAGCCAAAACACCCUGCUAUCACCACCAAUGUGCAAGAGUGGCACAGAAGCAGCUACCCCGUCUAACUUUAAGGGGAUUUGCCUGACAAACAUAUCAACAAUGUUGGGUAUGCACAAAAGGGCAUAGGACCUACACUGAAAGUUGUGUUCUGGGUAUCAUUUGCUAGGGUCUUCAUACAACCUUGACAGAAGGAGGUAAAAACCAUGAGGGAGAUUGAAUUUUUAGCCAGCUGGAAAGGUGAAAGGCUCAGAGCAGAUUGAAUUUUGUUGUAGGGAUAUAAAGAAAUGUGACAUUUUUUGCCAGUUGUUAGAAUGGCGAUCAUUAAAAAGUCAGGAAACAACAGAUGCUGGAGAGGAUGUGGAGAAAUAGGGACGCUUUUAU
rnacentral:lncRNA from 1 species